GGGAGAAUAAAGUUUGGGUACUCAGUAGAAAUCACUUAUGAAAAAAAUACCUAGAGCUAGGUCAUUUGAGUCCAUCUCCACUUGAGCAUGGGAUAGAUAUACUCCACAAGGGAUGAUAACUAGAAGUGAUGCAAACGUAAUCUCUUUCUGUUCACCCUUAAAAACAUUUCUGGAAACAAAAUAAAGCAACUCUGAGGAUGAGCAAUAGGUUGCCAGGAGAUGACCACAGGUUUGUACCCGGGGGACACUUCUGAUGGGUCCCAGGUAGUUGGGGACCAAACUGUAGGAAUUUCUACACUAAAAGCUUCUCCGCAGGAAACCUUAACACACAAAUUUCAGACAUGUAAUCCUCACCCUGUGCCUGCAUCACAGGCUGAUGCUCCUGUGCAUCGAGCUUAUCCCUGCUGUCUCUGAGCUCUUAAUCAGGGACUGUCUUCUCCGGGGAGACUGAGAGAAGCUCCAUUUGAUUUGGUUAAGACAAGAAGCAAGUAGACAGUGAGCCUUAGGAAAACCAGAAAUCCCUGGCUGUCCCAGUAGAUAUCUUCCCAAUUGGAAGUGAGGGGCUAGAUCUUCCACAUCUGCUUUUGGGACAUCUGCUCCAAUUUACCCCAGCUCAGCAUCUGUCCCAUAGAUUUACUGCUGGGAGGUGAGGGGAGAAGGGGAAUUCUCUGCUUAGAUCGAAUGUCUCUGCCAAUGGUUGUCUUGGGACUUAGUUAAAUAUCUGGUCCCACUAAAGAACAGAACAGCGCUCUACGGAAAAGAGGGGACAUUUAGGAAGGUGAAGAGGAAUAUCCUUAGGGUCUCUGGGAAGAGCACCUGCCUGCGACACAGGCUGAGGUGCUCUCAAUACUCACCAGGCACAGCAGGGUUGGAAGAAGGGAGUGAGGAGGAAGAUGCCCAGAUAAGUGUCCAUGUGAAACAUAAAAUCCAAAUAAAGAGGGAGAAAGGACAUCCUAAAAAAAUAAAAAUAAAAAUUGGGUACCACCACCAGGGAAAAGAAAAAGAAAUGAAAAAAAAAAAAAAAAAAAGAAAUGCAACAAAAUUAGGGAAGGGAUGGAGUUAUUUUCCACCCGGCGCUCCUGGUGUGAUGAAGAGGCGCAUGCCCCCUGAAUCCCAACUUCUGUGAAGGGUAACCAAUCCUAAAGUAAGAGCUAAAGGGGGUUGGUGAAAUGGAGCCGCAGAACUUCCUAAGAAGAGAUUAUCUACUUAAUUAAAGAUUUUUUUUUCCCUAAGUCCUUCAGCCAAUCAGGACUCAAGUGCCAGAGAGAGAUUGAACUGAUGAAAAGAACACCCCAGGUUCCUCGAAGACAAAUGCACCACGAAAGGGAUAAGAGGGAGGGAAAAGGGGGGGAAAAGGAGAGAGAGAGAAAGAAAAAUAGAGAGAGAGAGAGGGAGAAAGAAAGAGACAGCAAAUCCCUUAAAGCAAUCACUAGACUCAAUCUCCACGGCUGCUGCCCUGCCUCUCCAACCCCCGCUAAGGCGGUGGGAAGGGCUGCUCGCCGUGCCCACACCUCCUCCUGCCACGGAGGCACCACCAGCAGCGGGGUGCUCUGGUCUGGGGGCUUGGGGCUGGCCCGCCUGGGCCCCAUCUUUGGUGGUGUCAGGGAGAAGGCUGGGGACAGCAAUAUGCAAGUAUUGUCCCUGCCUCGGUCUCCCCCAGAAACUUAAGGGGGAUCAGUGCCAGUUUAGGACUACACCUGCUCCUACCUCAUCACAGAGACCUGCCCUUUCUUCCCACCUCCUGUUUGAAGUACUGCAUCUCUGCUCUGGAAGAAAGGCCUCUGGCUAAACCUUCCCUCACACCCUCAAUUUCUGCGUUCAGGGUGUUCUGUGAAGUCCAUGCAAGGGUAUCUUGGGUUUGGGAGGGUCAGUGGUCACUCAGUGAGCUGUUAUCUCAAGCCAAAGACAUCUAGCCCAUCCAAGCUUCUGGAGCCACAAGCAUUUAAAAAAAUAAGAUGUUAUUUAUGCUAAGAGCUUGAAAAUGUAUAUAGUGGAGGCAAAAGCUCUAGAAACUGAAAGGGUUUUCUCAUUCCGUGGGUCCAGCAGCAACAGCAUUUUGAAACUGGGCAAAACUUCAUACGCAUCUUGACCAACUGGAAAGGAAGGAUGCACACCAGCUCUGCUGGGCCAUAUCAAACUAAGAUUGUGCCACUACAGACAGUAUUGACACACCUGAGUACGCAAACGGCUGCAUGACCCCUUCACUGUAAGCUUGGCUUUGUAACCUUCAUGCUCUCUAUCGCUGUUCCCUGCAUGGUUGACGCACACUGAGGAGGCUCCCAUGAGGUCUGCUUGUGCUUUACCAAUAUUAAAUCUGGCCUCAUAUUUGCAGGUUCUCCCUUCAGUUCAUGCAGGGACAGUUCAA